UACAGAGGGUGCAAACGUUGUUCGGAAUUACUGGGCGUAAAGCGCACGUAGGUGGCGACGUAAGUCGGGUGUGAAAGCCCCGGGCUCAACCUGGGAAUUGCAUUCGAGACUGCAUUGCUGGAGUACGGAAGAGGAAGGCGGAAUUCCCGGUGUAGCGGUGAAAUGCGUAGAUAUCGGGAGGAACAUCAGUGGCGAAGGCGGCCUUCUGGUCCAGUACUGACACUCAAGUGCGAAAGCGUGGGGAGCAAACAGG
rnacentral:rRNA from 1 species